rnacentral:lncRNA from 1 species
GCUCACACACAUCAUGGGAGAACAUCUCCCUGCUCCAAAUGCUGUUUUUAAUCAUGCCUGUGAUUUUGCCAUGUGUAGUGACAUCUUCACAGGCUGAAGGAUUAGGAUAUAGAACAUACCACAGAAGGGUCUCACUGUGAAGCCCUGGCUGUCAUGGAACUCAGACCAGGCUGACCUUGAACUCACUGACAUCUGUCUGCCUCUGCCUCCUGAGUGCUGGGAUAAAGGCGUGCGCCACCACUGCCUGGCUCCAUUGCCUGGUUUACAAGUGUGUGUUUCUGAGGAUUCCUGCUUGCCGGGCCAUGCCUUGCCUCUCUCCUCCGUUGCUGAACGUUGUCUCUCUCCUUGUUUCAGAGCACUUUCCCCUACAGCUUCUGCACCAUGUUUCAAUUAAAGUUCAAUAUUUGCUUAUGGUGUUACUUUUUUUUUCCUGUGAGGUAAAAUUUGCAUCUAGUGAAACAUUCCAGUUUAGGCUUCUUCCUGUUUGUCACUGCACCUGUUCUCUCCCUUAGGUGUGAACACAGAGCACACACCUUGUCCUCCCUCCUAAAGCUCUCGUUUAGCCACCAUCGAUCAGUAGGCCAUUCUCUUUUUGUCAAUGCUGGGAAUCUGAGGGUGAGCCCAGGGCCUCACAUGGGAUAAACCAGGGACUCUACCACUGAGUUAUCCCUGGUUCCAACUUUGCUUUUCUAACUUGAAGGCCAUCUUGGUUCUUUCCAUUUUCUCAUGAUUUCAUGACCAAGAUACUCAGACAUACAUAUGGUUUUGUUACAAGCUCUACACUCCAUAUUUUCUCACAUAGGAGUCGAACAUGAGUCCUAUUUCAUGGAGAAAGUACCAUCUGCCUACAUGAGUGAAGUGCCUUUGGGUUGGGGGGGGGAGUCCCAAGGCAACAUUUAGGCUUGACAAUUUAUCAGAAAGACUCAUAGGAUUCUGUUGAGAUUAUGUUUUGUUUUGUUUUGUUUGUUUGUUUUGGUUUUCGAGACAGGGUUUCUCUGUGUAGCUUUGGAGCCUAUCCUGGCACUCGCUCUGGAGACCAG